rnacentral:tRNA from 1 species
GCCCCGGUAGCUCAGGUGGAUAGAGCAAGGGCCUUCUAAGCCCUAGGUCGGGGGUUCGAAUCCCUCCCGGGGUACCA